CGCAAGUGGCGGAUGCCUAUACAUGCAAGUCGAACGAGCUUCCGUUGAAUGACGUGCUUGCACUGAUUUCAACAAUGAAGCGAGUGGCGAACUGGUGAGUAACACGUGGGAAAUCUGCCCAGAAGCAGGGGAUAACACUUGGAAACAGGUGCUAAUACCGUAUAACAACAAAAUCCGCAUGGAUUUUGUUUGAAAGGUGGCUUCGGCUAUCACUUCUGGAUGAUCCCGCGGCGUAUUAGUUAGUUGGUGAGGUAAAGGCCCACCAAGACGAUGAUACGUAGCCGACCUGAGAGGGUAAUCGGCCACAUUGGGACUGAGACACGGCCCAAACUCCUACGGGAGGCAGCAGUAGGGAAUCUUCCACAAUGGACGAAAGUCUGAUGGAGCAAUGCCGCGUGAGUGAAGAAGGGUUUCGGCUCGUAAAACUCUGUUGUUAAAGAAGAACACCUUUGAGAGUAACUGUUCAAGGGUUGACGGUAUUUAACCAGAAAGCCACGGCUAACUACGUGCCAGCAGCCGCGGUAAUACGUAGGUGGCAAGCGUUGUCCGGAUUUAUUGGGCGUAAAGCGAGCGCAGGCGGUUUUUUAAGUCUGAUGUGAAAGCCUUCGGCUUAACCGGAGAAGUGCAUCGGAAACUGGGAGACUUGAGUGCAGAAGAGGACAGUGGAACUCCAUGUGUAGCGGUGGAAUGCGUAGAUAUAUGGAAGAACACCAGUGGCGAAGGCGGCUGUCUAGUCUGUAACUGACGCUGAGGCUCGAAAGCAUGGGUAGCGAACAGGAUUAGAUACCCUGGUAGUCCAUGCCGUAAACGAUGAGUGCUAAGUGUUGGAGGGUUUCCGCCCUUCAGUGCUGCAGCUAACGCAUUAAGCACUCCGCCUGGGGAGUACGACCGCAAGGUUGAAACUCAAAGGAAUUGACGGGGGCCCGCACAAGCGGUGGAGCAUGUGGUUUAAUUCGAAGCUACGCGAAGAACCUUACCAGGUCUUGACAUCUUCUGCCAAUCUUAGAGAUAGACGUUUCCCUUCGGGGACAGAAUGACAGGUGGUGCAUGGAUGUCGUCAGCUCGUGUCGUGAAGAUGUGGGUUAAGUCCGCACGAGCGCACCCUUAUUAUCAGUGCAGCAUCAGUUGGGCCCUCUGGUGAGACUGCCGGUGACAACCCGAGGAAGGUGGGGAUGACGUUCAAAUCAUUCAUG
rnacentral:rRNA from 1 species